rnacentral:rRNA from 1 species
GACGAACGCUGGCGGCGUGCUUAACACAUGCAAGUCGAACGGAAAGGCCCUGCUUUUGUGGGGUGCUCGAGUGGCGAACGGGUGAGUAACACGUGAGUAACCUGCCCUUGACUUUGGGAUAACUUCAGGGAACUGGGGCUAAUACCGGAUAGGAGCUCCUGCUGCAUGGUGGGGGUUGGAAAGUUUCGGCGGUUGGGGAUGGACUCGCGGCUUAUCAGCUUGUUGGUGGGGUAGUGGCUUACCAAGGCUUUGACGGGUAGCCGGCCUGAGAGGGUGACCGGCCACAUUGGGACUGAGAUACGGCCCAGACUCCUACGGGAGGCAACAGUGGGGAAUAUUGCACAAUGGGCGGAAGCCUGAUGCAGCAACGCCGCGUGCGGGAUGACGGCCUUCGGGUUGUAAACCGCUUUCGCCUGUGACGAAGCGUGAGUGACGGUAAUGGGUAAAGAAGCACCGGCUAACUACGUGCCAGCAGCCGCGGUGAUACGUAGGGUGCGAGCGUUGUCCGGAUUUAUUGGGCGUAAAGGGCUCGUAGGUGGUUGAUCGCGUCGGAAGUGUAAUCUUGGGGCUUAACCCUGAGCGUGCUUUCGAUACGGGUUGACUUGAGGAAGGUUUUGGAGAAUGGAAUUCCUGGUGGAGCGGUGGAAUGCGCAGAUAUCAGGAGGAACACCAGUGGCGAAGGCGGUUCUCUGGGCCUUUCCUGACGCUGAGGAGCGAAAGCGUGGGGAGCGAACAGGCUUAGAUACCCUGGUAGUCCACGCUGUAAACGGUGGGUACUAGGUGUGGGGUCCAUUCCACGGGUUCCGUGCCGUAGCUAACGCUUUAAGUACCCCGCCUGGGGAGUACGGCCGCAAGGCUAAAACUCAAAGGAAUUGACGGGGCCCCGCACAAGCGGCGGAGCAUGCGGAUUAAUUCGAUGCAACGCGUAGAACCUUACCUGGGUUUGACAUGGAUCGGGAGUGCUCAGAGAUGGGUGUGCCUCUUUUGGGGUCGGUUCACAGGUGGUGCAUGGCUGUCGUCAGCUCGUGUCGUGAGAUGUUGGGUUAAGUCCCGCAACGAGCGCAACCCUUGUUCACUGUUGCCAGCACGUUAUGGUGGGGACUCAGUGGAGACCGCCGGGGUCAACUCGGAGGAAGGUGGGGAUGACGUCAAGUCAUCAUGCCCCUUAUGUCCAGGGCUUCACGCAUGCUACAAUGGCUGGUACAGAGAGUGGCGAGCCUGUGAGGGUGAGCGAAUCUCGGAAAGCCGGUCUCAGUUCGGAUUGGGGUCUGCAACUCGACCUCAUGAAGUCGGAGUCGCUAGUAAUUGCAGAUCAGCAACGCUGCGGUGAAUACGUUCCCGGG